rnacentral:lncRNA from 1 species
CAAAAAUUUUGGCAUAAAACCUGUGAUGAUUAUGUGGUGAAAUACAGUAUCUAGACUUCAAAAAAUGAUGGGAAAAAUGUUAAUGAAUGCUGAUUAAACUUAAAAGUGUGACUUAUGUGCUUUUUUUUUAAUCAGGAGAAGGUUGUUCAAUACCAGCAUAUCACUGGUGUCACCUCUUCUAUUAGGAAUACAGAAGUAUUUCCAAUUGGAAAAUGAUGGCACACACCGUGGAGAAGAUGGAGGUGGUACAUCAAAGGUCAGCUGCUUCUAACAAUCAAGUCCAGAACUGCAGCACAGAGAUCCAGAUUCAGCUGCUCAGCCCGUCCUGCUGCUGGUAUCCCUCAUCUCACUACCAGGGUGGUGAAGAGGAUACAAGCAAGAAUAUACAAUAAGUAUUUUGAGCUCUUUAAGGGAAAAAAAGUAUUCUAUGUAAAAACAAAAUAACACUGGUAUUUGUUGCUGUUGUUCAGAAUUUCAGUCGUUGUCCACCCCUUUGACCACAUUUUGAGUGUUCUUGGUAAAGAUACCAGAGUGGUUUGCCAUUUCAGACUUACAAAUGAAAAUUAAAGUCAUAUCUUACCUAGCCUUGACAUCCUCUGGCCUCCUUUUCUGGAAGUGAAACUAGGAAGCUCUUACCUGAUGAACAGAGAGGUACAUAAGUAGUGGCAAAAACACUGAACUGACUCUAUUUCAAAGCCUACCACUUGUUCGAUAUGUGACUUUAUCACUUCCCUCUACUGGGCCUUAGUUUUCUCACCUAUAAAAUGAGGAAAUUGGACAUACUCGCUUUGAUUUGAGUUAGAUCACCUGGGAAUCAGAUCUUAGUUUUGCCAUGAGUUACCUGGGUGACCAUACUGGGUGACUACAAGCUCUCUAGGUUUUACUUUUCUCUUUACUCUUCUGUAAAAUGAAGACUAGAUGAGCUCCAAGUUGUCUUUCCACUCUAAACUUAUGAUCCAGUGGCCCAAUGAACCAGUGGCCUGGGAUAGGCCACUUAAAUUCUCUUAGCCUCAGUUUCCUCUUUUGGAAAAUGAGUUGGAUUAACUAGGUGAUACAGUAGAUAGAACAUUGGGCUUGAAAUCAGAAAGACUCAUCAAAUCAGGCCUCAGACACUUACUAGCUAUGUGACCCUGGGCAAGUCACUUAACCCAGUUUGCCUCAGUUUCCUCAUCUGUAAAAUGGCAAACCCUUCCAGUAUCUUUGCCAAGAAAAACACGAAAUGGGGUCAUGAAGAGUUAGACACAACUGAAAGCAAUGAACAACAACAAAAUUUUCUAACUCUAAAACCCAAGAUCUGACAAUGCUAUGACUUCAGGUCUCCAAAUCUCAGAGUUUGCUCUUGGUAAUUCUGAGGCUCCAAUGUUGAAUUUUAGUGCUAACGUCCUGAAUGAA